rnacentral:tRNA from 1 species
AGGCGCGUAGCUCAGUUGGUUAGAGCGCUACCUUGACACGGUAGAGGUCGAUGGUUCGAAUCCAUUCGUGCCUA